UUUUUUUUUUUUUUAAAAGCAACCCACAGUAUUCUCUCAAACGCACUCAAUCAACUUUUCUAUAUUUAGCCAUAACAACACCACCACCCAAAUCCCAAGCUUUGUAUGGUUUAAUUUAUCUUUCCUCUACGUCAAACAUGCACAAAGAGAGAGAGACACACAUUACAGAGAGAGAAAGUGAGAGAGAGGUCAUGGUCGAGGCCUGGUUCAUCCAAACCAAGGUCAUGAUCUGUCUCAUCAUCACCAUCUUCCCUUCAUUUUGAACCCUCUGUUUCAAAUUUCCACAACCAACCGAUCUUUCAGUUUUUUCCAUUUGGGUUUUCUCCUACCUAGAUUUAACAUGGCAUCGCCAUCCUUCAAGCAUCUUGCAGAACGGAAGCUGGGCAGAUUCCCACACUUUAUAGUAUACGCCCUUCUCGAAUGGACGCUGAUUUUCUUGCUCUUCAUCGACGGAUUCCUAGCGUUCGUCUCCAACGAAUUCGCCAAAUUCUUCGACCUGAAAAUCCCCUGCCUGCUCUGCACCAGAAUCGACCACGUCCUCGUCCACAGGAACUCCAACUUCUACUACAAUGGCUCCAUUUGUGAAUCUCACAAGAGGGACAUUUCCUCCCUUGCUUACUGCCACAUGCACCGAAAACUCUCCGACAUCCGGAGCAUGUGCGAGGGAUGCCUCCUCUCGUUUGCAACUGAGAGAGAGUCCGACACGGAUGCUUACAAAUCCCUAGCUGGGAUCCUUCACAAGGAUAUUGACACCUUUAUGGAGGAUGAUCAUAGGAUUAGUCACAGACAACCAUAUCUUGGAAAGAGGGAUGAUGCGAUGAAGGUUGAGAAAAGCGGGGUCCACAGGUGUUCUUGUUGUGGGGAGGCGUUGAAGAUGAAGCCCUCCUCGUCGAUGAACGCAAGUUUUCUUUCGCAAGCGCCUGCUCCAUCCCCUAGAGCUCCGGUGUUGACCUGGAAAAACGAGGAGUCGAGGAAUUUAGAAUUGCCUCAUAUUCGUUACACGGAGCUGAAGUUUAUGUCCGAUAACGAAUCGGAGAUUCCAGAUGAUGAAGAUAGCCAUUCAGGCAAAGAAGAGAACAAAGCCGCUUCUGUGCCAUUACUACCGGACACUGAAGAUAUUAUAGAAGAAGCUAAGACCCCAAACUUCACGAAAGGCAACAGAUUUUUUGGAAUCCCACUUACGGAUUCAGCAGCAGCAAGUCCCAGGUGGGCUUCCAGGUUUCAAAAGAAGUUUCUAUUCGAAAAGUCAGACUUCUUUUCUGAGUCCAAUGACACAAACGAAACAGAAGGUGACUCCAUCUUGCAUAGUUUGAAGAGACAAGUUCGCUUGGAUCGCAAGUCGUUGAUAGCAAUGUACAUGGAAUUGGAUGAAGAAAGAAGCGCUUCCGCAGUUGCAGCAAACAACGCAAUGGCCAUGAUCACAAGGCUUCAAGCAGAGAAGGCAGCUGUUCAAAUGGAAGCGUUACAGUAUCAGAGAAUGAUGGAGGAGCAGGCAGAGUACGAUCAAGAAGCAGUACAAGUGAUGAAGGAUUUGCUUACCAAGAGAGAGGAGGAGAUCAAGGGUUUAGAGGCCGAACUUGAUACCUAUAGAGAAAGAUACGGACAGAUAAAUAGAGUAGGGAGUGACGAAUGUGAAGUUGAUGCCGAUGAAGAUUACCAAGAGUUUAAAUCUCAAUCUUUAUCGUCCAUGAGCGAGAAAUCGGAUUGUGGAAGUCCUAACGAAGGAAAUCAAAUUGCAGAAAAUGGGCAUAAUCGUGAACGAUCUGGCCCUUUGCAGGAAGAAAGAGGAGAGAGGACCAUUGAGGAGUCAUCGUUAGAUUUUGAAGGCGAUAGAACUUUCCUUUUGGGCAUGUUGUCAAAUUUGGAGAAGAAACUCAACGUAGACUCUGGCAUGGUAGAUCAUGUAGAUGAAUAUACAGGCAAUGAGAACAAGGCCAUUCUUACCAAAGAAGUGUCAUUUAUAAGGGAGAGACUGAAAGCAAUUGAAGCAGACAGUGGAUUCUUAAAGCAUGCUGCUAUGACACUUCAAAAGGGUGGUGAAGGAACAAAACUUUUGACAGAGAUAGCUCUUCAUCUACGGAAGCUUAGGCGGUCAUUGAAAGUUCCGUCGCAGGAUAUAGAUGCAUGAAUUGUUUCCUAAUUAUUUUUUAAGGAACAUAAACUCAGGCAAUAUCACAAAAGUGAGAAGUUUCAACUUUGUAGUUAGGAGGUUUGUCUCAGUAUUCUAUAGGCAACUGCAUCCAAAUCGCGCAACUCUUAACAUCACCAGCAGGCUUUUUACCUACAAUAUCUCUGACAAGUUUUUCGCCUGCAAAGUAACCAGUACGACACGUGUUAGAAAAGCUUUGUCUACUUUGGUGAAGACUAGGAUGGAAGCACAUGCCUGAUUUCUGUCAGUGAUAAACUUCAAACAUCAGCAGACUGGUUUUCUGUUUGGGUGACAAUCCCUUCAUUACCGGG